CCCACAUCCACCGUCACGUGCCGGUAGAUCUGCGUGGCCCCUUUAAAACUGGAAGCCACCAAGAAGUGGUGCUCCAUAGAGCCCCAUAAUGCCCCAUAGAGACCCCAUAAUGCCCCAUAGAGACCCCAUAAUGUCCCAUAGAGACCCAUAGAGACCCCAUAAUGCCCCAUAGAGGCCACAUAGAGCCCCAUAGAGACCCCAUAAUGCCCCAUAGAGCCCCAUAAUGCCCCAUAGAGCCCCAUAGAGACCCCAUAAUGCCCCAUAGAGACCCCAUAAUGCCCCAUAGAGCCCCAUAGAGCCCCAUAG
ensembl:lncRNA